rnacentral:rRNA from 1 species
CCUACGGGUGGCAGCAGUGAGGAAUAUUGGUCAAUGGACGAGAGUCUGAACCAGCCAAGUAGCGUGAAGGAUGACUGCCCUAUGGGUUGUAAACUUCUUUUAUAUGGGAAUAAAACGUUCCACGGGUGGGAUUUUGUAUGUAACAUAUGAAUAAGGAUCGGCUAACUCCGUGCCAGCAGCCGCGGUAAUACGGAGGAUACGAGCGUUAUCCGGAUUUAUUGGGUUUAAAGGGAGCGUAGGUGGAUUGUUAAGUCAGUUGUGAAAGUUUGAGGCUCAACCGUAACAUUGCAGUUGAAACUGGCAGUCUUGAGUACAGUAGAUGUAGGCGGAAUUCGUGGUGUAGCGGUGAAAUGCUUAGAUAUCACGAAGAACUCCGAUUGCGAAGGCAGUUCACUGGACUGCAACUGACACUGAGGCUCGAAAGUGUGGGUAUCAAACAGGAUUAGAUACCCGGGUAGUC